GGGUGGGGAGAUCACUGAGGUGAGGGGAGCAAUCAAGUACUAACACGCAGAUGCUCUAGAGUGUGCAAGAGUUCCAGCAUUGAAGCGGAGAGAAAUAAUGGCGGUGGUGAGGAUGCAGAGAUGGAGGGCCAGCAGGUGAAGCCCCUCCAGCCAGAAGAGGAUCAGAGCGGUUUCCCAGCCUCUCUAUGCAAACCCAGCAACACAAAAUGUGUCCAUUAGCAUUUCAAGGAGCUUCCUAUUAACAGUGGCAAGAAAAGCUCCUCUCGGAUCUGAAAACUGGCCCUUGUUGUCUCUACUUCAUGUCUAGAUUGGAUGUUCAUGGUCGAUUCCAAUAAGCAUCAGAGGGACACUUUCGUAAAGGAAGCCACCUCAUUAUCAAGGAACUGAAGAUUCCUCUUUCCUUCUUCCAUGCCAAGAAAAUCGUGAUGAAGAACCGGGAAGCAUCUUGGGUCUACAGUAAGAGAUGCUUUUGUACAUUUGUGAACUGUGAGGCAAGAGCAAACAUUCUUGGCUGUAGUUUUGUAAGAGGUUUUAACAAAGUAAGAAUAAUGAUGAUACGGUACUGCCUUUGAGAUUAUUUUGAAUUUUCUAGCUAGUGUUACAACAGUACUAGAAAUACACUUAAAUAAUAAUAUAAUAUAUUGUUAGAUAAUCAUGUAUACUUAUUCAUGAUGCAGUUACUUUUAUCUGAAAGCCCAAAUCCACAAUUAGGCACAUAAAAAUUAAACAUUUUAAACAUAGAUUUGGCAAUGGUCAUCUGGUACACAAAAUUACUGGUGCAUGUGCUCCAUCUCUGAAACAUCCUUGGGUCAUUUAAUUGCAUGGAGCCUGUAGUGUGAUUGGUUUUAGCCAUUGCUACAGCCCUUUAAAGUUCUCAUACAUAGGUUACAUACACUGGACACUUUAUUGUGAGGUUUUACUGGGAGUUCCAAGUUGCUCCCUCCCCCCCAAAAGAGGAAUUUUUUACCCUGGAUAUAAAUUGGGCUGCACUCUAACAUGCAAUGAAAAACCUGAAUCACGUGUGAAGUGAUCGCCAAUAGUUCGCAGGGACUUUGGGGUAAAUCUAGCCAAUAUGUGAAUGCACAUCCUCAAGUCUGGAGGAGAUACAAGCUAAAAGCCCUGUAUUGAAAACACCCAAGAUUUCAGAUGGCAUUUUCAGAUGCUAUUUUCAAUCCCAGGAUGCCAGGGAUUGAACCUGGCACCUCCUGCAUGCAAAGCAGAUGCUCUGUCAUUGGAUACAUACAGUGCCAUCCCCUAUAAAGCUAAAGCAUAAAGGGGAUCAGACCUAGGGAUGUGCAUGAAUUAAAAAUUGGGAUUCAAUUCGAGUUAAAUUGAAACAGAAGGAUUUCAAUUUGAUCUAAAAUCCAGUCUUCCCCAAACAGGCCGGAUUAGAUUUGGAAUGGUUUUGAUUUGACUCAGUCCAAAUCAAUUUGACUGUCUUUUAAGUUUAAUGGGGGAAGAGGGAGGGAGAAGGAGGAGAGCCUCCUUCUAUCAUUGUUGUUGUUGUUUUUUAAAAGGGCACAGAAGCACCCAGUACCUGAUGAAAUGCAGAGGGCACAGGGGUGGGGAGGCAGUGGUGGUGACUCGCCCGCCAUCCCCCUGGGGCCCAGCAGCUGCCAGUUCCAAAAAGAAGAGGCACUGAGGUGCCUUUGAAGGGCUCCUGGCAGUACUACUGCAGAGCUGGCAGUAGAGGGAGUAGAGGCAAGGGGAGAGGGAGUGGGAGGAAGGCCACAUUUCAGCCUUUAAAAAAAACACCCUAAACACUAAGAAGUGCCAGGGCACUCCAAAAUUACCAAAAUUAUUUGUGCACAAAAACACCAGUGUUCUAGCAAAAAACAACAACAACCCCACACUGGGCUAUCCCUUUAAAUG